rnacentral:rRNA from 1 species
GGAUUAGAUACCCUGGUAGUCCACGCCGUAAACGGUGGGUACUAGGUGUGGGUUUCCUUCCUUGGGAUCCGUGCCGUAGCUAACGCAUUAAGUACCCCGCCUGGGGAGUACGGUCGCAAGACUAAAACUCAAAGGAAUUGACGGGGGCCCGCACAAGCGGCGGAGCAUGUGGAUUAAUUCGAUGCAACGCGAAGAACCUUACCUGGGUUUGACAUGCGCAGGACGUAUCUAGAGAUAGGUAUUCCCUUGUGGCCUGCGUGCAGGUGGUGCAUGGCUGUCGUCAGCUCGUGCCG